rnacentral:rRNA from 1 species
GGGUUGUGAGGUUAAGUGACUAAGCGUACACGGUGGAUGCCUAGGCAGUCAGAGGCGAUGAAGGGCGUGCUAAUCUGCGAAAAGCGUCGGUAAGGUGAUAUGAACCGUUACAACCGGCGAUACCCGAAUGGGGAAACCCAGUGUGUUUCGACACACUAUCAUGUCAUGAAUACAUAGUGGCAUGAGGCGAACCGGGGGAACUGAAACAUCUAAGUACCCCGAGGAAAAGAAAUCAACCGAGAUUCCCCCAGUAGCGGCGAGCGAACGGGGAGGAGCCCAGAACCUGAAUCGGCUUGUGUGUUAGUGGAAGCGUCUGGAAAGUCGCGCAGCAAAGGGUGAUAGCCCCGUACACUAAAAUGCACAGGUCGUGAGUUCGAUGAGUAGGGCGGGACACGUGACAUCCUGUCUGAAUAUGGGGGGACCAUCCUCCAAGGCUAAAUACUCCUGACUGACCGAUAGUGAACCAGUACCGUGAGGGAAAGGCGAAAAGAACCCCGGCGAGGGGAGUGAAAUAGAACCUGAAACCGUGUACGUACAAGCAGUGGGAGCACCUUCGUGGUGUGACUGCGUACCUUUUGUAUAAUGGGUCAGCGACUUAUAUUUUGUAGCAAGGUUAACCGUAUAGGGGAGCCGUAGGGAAACCGAGUCUUAACUGGGCGAUUAGUUGCAAGGUAUAGACCCGAAACCCGGUGAUCUAGCCAUGGGCAGGUUGAAGGUUGGGUAACACUAACUGGAGGACCGAACCGACUAAUGUUGAAAAAUUAGCGGAUGACUUGUGGCUGGGGGUGAAAGGCCAAUCAAACCGGGAGAUAGCUGGUUCUCCCCGAAAGCUAUUUAGGUAGCGCCUCGUGAACUCAUCUUCGGGGGUAGAGCACUGUUUCGGCUAGGGGGCCAUCCCGGCUUACCAAACCGAUGCAAACUCCGAAUACCGAAGAAUGUUAUCACGGGAGACACACGGCGGGUGCUAACGUCCGUCGUGAAGAGGGAAACAACCCAGACCGCCAGCUAAGGUCCCAAAGUCAUGGUUAAGUGGGAAACGAUGUGGGAAGGCA